rnacentral:rRNA from 1 species
UACGUAGGGGGCAAGCGUUGUCCGGAUUUAUUGGGCGUAAAGAGCGUGUAGGCGGCCAAGCAGGUCCGCGUCUGUGAAAACUCGAGGCUCAACCUCGAGACGUCGGUGGAACCGUUGCGUAGAGUCCGGAAGAGGAGAGUGGAAUUUCCCGGUGUAGCGGUGAAAUGCGCAGAUAUCGGGAAGAACACCGGUGGCGAAGGCGG